rnacentral:tRNA from 1 species
GUCUCCGUGGUCUAGUGGUUAACACAUUGGCGUUAAAAGCCAGUGACCAGGGUUCGAUUCCGGAGACA